CUCCCCCACGGCCCAGAAGGACCUGCCUGAGCCCCAGUGGGUUCUGAGCCCAGGGUGGCAGCCCGCUGUCUCCUCCUCCUUGCCCUGCCGGCCUGUUCCUACAGAAUGCUCCAGACUUCUCCUGGUCCAUUUCCCUGGGCUCUGUGAGGCCUGGCCAGCAGAGGGCACGGUCCUCUAUAUUCUGGAGACCGGAGGCUGAAGAGAGCAGCUUUGGGGACCUUUGCGGCUCUAACUCAGCCUCUCCAAGCUGCAGGGAGCCACCGAGGAGCUGGGUGAGAGCUCGGGAGAUGAGGGUAUCCCGAGAUCCCGAGGGAAUUUCACAGAGCUGGCCCCUCCUCUGAUACGGGUCCUGCAGCAUGCCCCCCCCCCCCCAGGCUGGGCACACAGAUGCUCCUCUGUCAUCAGUCCUGGCCUGGCCCGGUUCUUCUGUCCCAGGAACAGACCAGAGUCCUAGGACAGCCCCCUGCCCCCGGCCCGCGGGAGGGCAGCGGGAGAACUCAGGGCCAGGCCUGCGGGACCGUUUGCCUUCGCGGGCAGGGUGACGGGCAGCAGGUCGGGCAGUUUCAUGUUUCUGUUGACGGAUGCUGCUGAGCACCUCAUGACGUGCCAGCCACGGUGGCGAGCACGGGGUGAGCCCAAACACCACGACGGCCCGUGCCACAUGAGCUGUGCUGUCAGCUGGGAAGACACGUUCGACGCGGACUUUCAUGACGUGUCCAAAUUACAAAUGCGGCGCCCCCUUGCCGAGGCCUAAGUUGAACGCUUCCCGGUUCCACACACCUGCAGCCCUUUCAGCUCCAGGGAGGCUCCUUCCUGUCCAUCCUUACUGUUUCCAGCACCGCUUUCCGCUCACGUCCUGCGUGUCCCUCUGCUCUCUCUGUGUUGGGAGUGGACUCCGCAGAAAGGCAUUCCAUGUUGCGGGGCCUCGGAAUGUCUUGGAACUGAGCGGUCACUCAGGACGUGGUUUAUCUGUCCGGCUCCAGGGUUCCCAGCAGGGUCCCAAGGACAACAACGAUGAGCCAGGGAGAAGGCAAAAUGGGUUUAAAUAUGACAGUUUUUUUGGGGAAACGCCUGGGGGGGGGGGUGGCAGGAUGGAGCUGGUGCCGUAUCUCCACCUGAGACUCAGAAAGGCUGUGCCCUCCGAAGCCAGGAUGUGCCCGAAGUCGCCUGUUUGCACGGGCUUCCCGCGCUCACACUCAGAAUGUGCUUUCCUAUCCGUACUCUCACUGACCCUAAAGGCUGUGGCCACUCCCGGCACCGAUGAAUCCCAGGUCCUGACCCUUGGAAACUGUCCAGCCCUGCCACCUGUCACAAAGACAGGACAGUGUUUGCAGAUUUCAAAAAUACAAGAAAAAUGGCUAUACAUGUGUGAGGUGCACUCAAACCAAUUGCUUAAUUGGAGUGGAUGUUCCCCGGGUAGAUGAGGAAGAUUUUGCAAAUCUGUGUGGUCUGAAUGGACAAGUUCCUUGCAGAUUACGUUGGGUUUAUCUUGGCUUUUCCCAGAGGCGAUUUGGCUCUGAUAAGGAGACCUCUAGCAGAGUCUUUUUGGCUUCUGAGGGGUGAAGAACUGUUAACCUGAUCCCUGAAGAGAAAGGGAUCUUAUAUGGUUCUAUUAUUUCCUUAAGAUCUCGGAAUAGUGCUUUCAUUUGCCCAAUAACGUUUAUUUAUUAAUUAAACAUCUGUUAAACACUGGAGAGAAAAAAAAAAAAAAAAAAAAAAACACUGGAGAGCUGCCAGGCAGUGUAGUAGGUGGUCACAUGUUAGAAUAAAUAAGCGAUGGGCUCAUUGUGGAUGACUUUUAUCAUUCUUCAGAGAAUUGAAAAUAUGAUUCAAAGUUGUUCAAAUGAAAUGUA
rnacentral:lncRNA from 1 species